AUGACGUCAAAUCAUCAUGCCCUUUAUGACCUGGGCUACACACGUGCUACAAUGGAUGGUACAGAGAGCAGCAAGACCGCGAGGUGGAGCGAAUCUCAAAAAAGCCAUUCUCAGUUCGGAUUGGAGUCUGCAACUCGACUCCAUGAAGUCGGAAUCGCUAGUAAUCGCGAAUCAGCAUGUCGCGGUGAAUGCGUUCCCGGGCCUU
rnacentral:rRNA from 1 species